GUACUUGCUCAGGCAGUACAUCAACUAAAAUUGGAGCGAUACAGAGAAGAUUAGCAUGGCCCCUGCGCAAGGAUGACACGCAAAAUCGUGGAAGCGCCUCUUUUUCUU